rnacentral:rRNA from 1 species
GUCUACAGUCAUGCCACCCUGAACAAGUUCAACCUCAUCUGAUCUCAGAAGUUAAGCAGGGUCGUGCCUGGUUAGUGCUUGGAUGGGAGACCAUCUAGGAAGAUCGGGCGCUGUAGGCA